rnacentral:lncRNA from 1 species
CUUCUGCUCUAUGAAGCCUCUCACGAGGACAAACCGAAAGGCCUUUUCUCCAUUUUACAUCUCACAUUGGAUUCUCUCUCAAUUUCUUUCUGUCGCUGCCUGCCUUUCCCCCUUCAUUCCUCCCUUCCCAGAUAGACGAAUGGACAGAUAUUAGUGCGCCUCAGUCUUUGGACUCCAAAGCCACCAGAGGGUACAGCGUAGAUGAAACUGCACAGAGACAAUCGUCAUUCUCGGUCACCGAGAGACUACCACCACUUAGUAUUAAGACAUUAGGUGCUUGCCAUGUGUCAAGUAUUCAUCUGUCUGUCUGUCUGUCUGUCUGUCUGUCUAUCUAUCUAUCUAUCUAUCUAUCUAUCUAUCUAUCUAUCUAUCUAUCUGUCUGUCUGUCUAUCUAUCUUUCUAUCUAUCUAUCUAUCUAUCUAUCUAUCUAUUUAUCUAUCUAGCCAUCUCUUUCUCUCUCCAUCCAUCUAUCUUUUCCUUCCUUCCUUCCUCUCUCUUCCUUCCUUCCUUCCUUCCUUCCUUCCUUCCUUCCUUCCUUCCUUCCUUCCUUCCUUCCUUCCUUCCUUCCUUCCUUCCUUCCUUCCUUCCUUCCUUCCUUCCUUCCUUCCUUCCUUCCUUCCUUCCUUUCUUCCUUCCUUCCUUCCUUCCUUCCUUUCUUUCUUCCUUUCUUUCUUUCUUUCUUUCCUUCUUUUUCUUCUCUUUCCUUCUUUCCUUCCUUCUUUCCUUCCUUCUUCCUUCCUUCCUUUCUUCCUUCCUUCCUUCCUUCCUUCCUUUCUUUCUUUCUUUCUUUCUUUCUUUCUUUCUUUCUUUCUUUCUUUCUUUCUUUCUUUCUUUCUUUCUUUCUUUCUUUCUUUCUUUCUUUCUUUCUUUCUUUCUUUCUUUCUUUCUUUCUUUCUUACUUUCUUUCUUUCUUUCUUUCCUUCUUUCUUUCUUUCUUUCCUUCUUUCUUUCUUUCUUUCUUUCCUUCUUUCUUUCUUUCUUUCUUUCUUUCUUUCUUUCUUUCUUUCUUUCUUUCUUUCUUUCUUUCUUUCUUUCUUUCUUUCUUUCUUUCUUUCUUUCUUUCUUUCUUUCUUUCUUUCUUUCUUUCUUUCUUUCUUUCUUUCUUUCUUUCUUUCUUUCUUUCUUUCUUUCUUUCUUUCUUUCUUUCUUUCUUCCUCUUUUCUUUCUUUCUUUCUUUCUUUCUUUCUUUCUUUCUUUCUUUCUUUCUUUCUUUCUUUCUUUCUUUCUUCUUUCUUUCUUUCUUUCUUUCUUUCUUUCUGACUCCACUUUCUCUCUCUCUAGUAUUAGCAGCAAUUCUAAUAUUGCUAUGAUGGAAACUGGCCUUCCCCAUCAUUAGCUAGAAUUGGUGAAGCCAGCCAAAGCAGUAAACAAGGGUUCUAGGCUUCACCAUUGGGACCCUUCAUGUGAGCUCAUCAUCCUCAAGUGAAUGUGGCAACAAGACUGUAUCCUCUUCAGCCAGAGGUCACUCAUUUGCUAGGAGCUGCCUUUUCCAGAGACUGAUUCCAAGGCCAGGGUUCCUUCUGCACACAUCAGGGCUCCAGUGGCAGGUCCUUUCCCAAGUGCAGCCCCUAAGGUCAAUGCGAGGCGAUUUUGAAGUGAAAGAAAAAAGCCAACUUCCCUGAUAAUUUGGGCCACCCUGAGGUGUGAUGGGACCUUGCAGGAAGAUGGGGGGGGGGCUGCCCUUCAUCAGAGCUCUUCUUCUCUUUUCUUUACACAUUGAUUUCAGGUAUGCAGUUCACAGGCAUAGGAUUGAGCCAAACUGGA